UCUGUUCUGAUUUUUCUUAUGAAUUGAUUGAAUUUUUUUUUGACCCAUUAGGUUAUUUCCUUUACUGUAGAAACUUCAGAUUAAGCUUUUUCUUGCUUAGGUAGUCCUUCGUCUUUCUAGACCUUUUUAGCAGUAUUUUGGUAGGCAACAAAGUGCUUGAUAAAUAUUAUUACAAACUUGAUUUUAUGAAGGAUGAUGGUUGGAUUUAUUUCUUUCUAGAGAAAUACAAAGACAAAUUGACUUCUCAUGAAGUUAAAAGGAAAUAAUAUUUUGUAGUGAAAUUAGAACGAUAAAUAUGUUGUUGUGCGUUUGUAAUAUUUGGCAACAUUUCUGUCCCCCCCUUUUCACUUCAUGAAUAUAUUCUUAACAAACUAUCUUUUUUCUUCUUAUUUUGUUUAUGAUAUUUAUGUAUGAGCAUUAUAGAGUACAUUCUCAUUGGACUAUUCAAAGAGAAUAUGGAUGUUAUACAUAAUUUCUUAAAACUUUGCUUUUCUUGUUGAAAAUAGUUUACGUAGAUAGCAGCCAGCAUGUUUAGCUUUGAUUGAAAUUUCAGUGGAACUUCUAGUUAAGGGCAUAGUAAACCUGUUUCUUCAAGCAAAUUGAAGAAAAGCUGAAAAUAAAAUCUGGUUUAUGCAAAUUAAAGCUUAAGGUUCUUUCUGAAAGACAUACCAAUAGUUAAAGAUUAAGAUUUUCCGUACACACAUUUACAUUCUUCAUGUAUUUGAAGUUCUUAUCGUUCAGUUUUUCAGCUACUGCUGUUAGGAAAAAAUCUAGCCAAAAAGAAUUAUGUACUCCUAUCAUGAGGUUGUUUAUAUGGGGAAAGCUGAAAAGUUGUUUUUGCAUCGCUAAAACUCCCUAUUUACUUCUCUUUUUGCACUACUUCACAUUUCCAGUGUUAUUUAAAGCACUUGUUGCUUCGAUCGCUUAAAACGUGAAGUGUAGAUGAAGCAAGAAGCAACUGAAGCAUGCUCUUAAUUUAUUUUCACAAAAAAAAGUACACUUUAAAAUGAAAAAGAUGUAAGUUUCUUAUCUGUUUCAUUGCUCUCUUCUUUGGUCUAGGUUUUGCGUGUUGCAACUGAUUUAUCUUCUUCAGGAUAAAUUUGAGAGUGAUGACAAGGAUAUUAAUCGCGAUCAUAUCUUGGGAUGGAUGAAAGAAUUUUGGAACAAAAGCAGAGGAAAAUUGAUGCAAAGUAUGUGAAGGGUAAGCCAAUCCAAGACGCUCUUAAGAAUUUGACGAUGGGGGUAGACAAGAAACAAUGAGAAUGGUUGGUAAAGAAUAUUUUUUCCACCGAAAGUUUUCAGGUUUUGAAUACUGGAGUUUACAAGAAGCAAGUUUUUGAGGACAUACAGCUGGUUGACUAUCAAUUUGUUUCAAGAAGCAAGUUGACAAACUCUAUAUUAUAGGCUAGGAAUGUUAGCUUCAUACAUUUUCUACUAAGGGAACAUGUACACAAUAUUGUUACUAUAGCUUAUAUUGUGGUUGUAAGAUGCCAACUAAUGCAAAUCUUGUCUUUUUUUUUUUUUUUGUAAUUAAUUAUAUGUGUAUGAAAGCAGGAUCAUCAUUAUAUUAUCCUUUUGUGAUCUA